UGUUUUUUCUUCCUCCAUUUAAGAUAAUGUGUUGGUGAAAGUUAGUUUUUAAAGGUUCAAUUAUAGUAUUGGUACAUAUAGUAUGUGUGUAGGCCUUCUAUAUAUUAUGCAUUGUUUAUUUUACUAAUAUUUUAACCUCAACUUGCACAUUAUGCUUAUUUUGAAACUGCUGAUUGGCCUUGACUUAUUCUCCUCUAAAUUUCCUGAACACUAUUUUUGAUAUGUACAUUUUAUGUUUUUCCAAAUCGAGCUGCAAAUGCGUAGCUGUGUGUGUGUGUGUGUGUGUGUGUGUGUGUGUGCGCGACGCAGAUUCAAAUUUGCCGCCGAUUACUUUUCCGUUAGUCCCGCCCACAACAGUUCCAGGUCGGAGCCGUACAGUGAUGGAAGGGCGACUGCGAGCGCCGCGGGUAAUUUGAAUUUAUUUCAGGCUAUGCUUGUGGGUCGUGAGAUUAACAGUAGUGUAAAGCAAUCGUAAAGAGCAGUCUGACUGGGCAGGAGAAUUUAUUUGAACACAUCCGUCUAUCCAUUCUUCGGAACAGUGUGAGGAAAAACGAAAAACUAACGUCCUUUCAGCGAGAAGACCACAGCGGACAUCAUACCAACCGAUCACUGGCAGAGUCAUGUGGAAAGACUGGAGAUCUACAGCAGCAUUGCAGUCCAGCCAGAUGAUCAACCAGUAGCUGCUCGCAUCUCAGCCUGCUUGAUGGAAAUUUCCGACUUUCACCUGGAUGACCUUUACCUUCAACUCCACCUUGCUAAGACAGAAGUGCUCAUGGUUUCAGCCACCCAUCCUUUGUGUUAUAAUCAAUCAGUUAAACUUCACAGACUACAGUGCUGGAACUGCCCGAUCUUGCAGAUUUGCCCAGUACAACAUUGGGAAGACCAGGCCAUUCCUAUCGGAAAAUGCUACACAACAGAACAACAACUGGCUCUGCAAGCCUGUACCUAUACACCCUCCAGAAGCUUGCGCUCUGAAAGUGAACAGCAUCUUGUGGUGCCAUCCCAAAGGGGCACAAACCCACUUUAACUGACCUUUACCUGGACUGUUCCCUGCUGGUGGAAUAACCUGACUAACUCAAACCAUUUUCAAGAGAUUGCUAAAGAUGCAUUUUUUUGUGUGUGAACAAUUGUCCUGAUGAUACUAUCUGUUUAACUGGAAGAAAGAAAAAAAAUUCUAUGCAUACUGUGCUAGACUAACUGGAAGUUGUCAUUGUACUUAUUGUUGCAUCCAUUCCCAGGUGAAAAAAGUACAUUUCUAUAAUAUA